rnacentral:rRNA from 1 species
AAAUCAAAAGGUGUUUCUAUAUUUAGACAGCAGGACGGUGGCCCUGGUAGUCGGAACCCGCUAAGGAGUGUGUAACAACUCACCUGCCGAAUGUAGUUACCCUGAAAAUGGAUUGCGCUAAAGCUUACAGGGGAUACUUGACCUUCUCUAGAUCUAGAGAAGUGUAGGAGGUUGUAAAGGAGACAUGUGAUUGCCAGUGAUGGCAUCGUUCAUCUCCAAUUAGUGCAGAUCUUGGUGGUAGUAAUAAGUACACUGACUCUUGAAAGGUUUUUUUAAAGUACAAUCGCGUCCGCAACUCCAAAAAUCGACUGGCACAUUUCAAGCGGCACUUCGAGGCCACAGCCCAUCCUCAUAGUAGGGCAAGGGCUUUCCUCUCAUAAAAAGUGGCCGCCCCACACUCAUAUCGGAACCUCCGCUGAAAUUCCCAUAAUUUCAGGUCGGAGGGCCGGAUGUCAAGUUGCAGUCAACUGUUAUAAGUUGACGACGUUCCUUAAGGGUUCGGCAAGCUGUUGACAUCGAUCGGUGUGGAAGGGAUAUGAGUAUUCUUCUCUUGGAAGCAUGAGAACUACUCAUAAGUGAGAGUCUCAGCAGACAUGAAAUAUGAAAAUGCAUCUAAAUGUAUCUUCAAUUCAUGCAUAUGUCUUCCCAUCGUUGUUACUUCAUAUCAAGUGACCAUUUCCGUGGUCCGAUGUGAGGUAGGUUUUCACGGCAACUUCAUGUGGCCGUGAGUGAGACGAUCCUAAGCGGUGCAUUAAUCUGUUUCAUCCCUGAUUUCAGGUGUUCACUGCGAAAGGGAGACGAGCGUUGAAUCUCGUUCCAAUAUCCUCCAAAGGGCGACAUAAUUGUGCUACGCUUCGUUUUGACUAUGAACCUUAUGCGUUUCCGGCGCAUAUCAACAAACUGAACACUGUUUAAUUGGUGCAACCAGAGAGACAGUGUACAUUUGGAUUAGGUCGCUCUUCUUGAGCGAUCUACGUUUCAUGUCAGAACCCUUGAAAAGCUAAGCACAGUAUGGAGUUGAUUGAUCGUACCCAUAUCCGCAUCAGGUCCUCAAGGUUAAAUAGCCUCUGGUUCCUAGAAUAUCGUAGGUAAGGGAAGUCGGCAAAUUGAUUCCGUACCUUAGGAAAAAGGAAUGGCUCUGAAGGUUUGUGAUUCUCUGUGUAGAGGCCAUAGCGAUUCUUGUAUGUGGCACCUUCGGGUCUACGAACAAUUACGCGGGGCCUCUCUCAUGGCGUUUCACGCUAACAACCUUUUCAGAACUGCAGCGGACAAGAGGAAUCCGACAGUUUAACUAAAACCAAGCUUUUCGCAAACGUUGAGACGUUUAUAUGAAAGGUGAUUUCUGCCCAAUGCGCUGUUUGUCAAGUUGUAGAAUUUAGACACAAUUAAGCGCGCGUCAAUGGCAGGGGUAACUGUGACCCUUUUAAGGUAGCCAAAUGCCUCGUCAUCUAAUUAGUGACGCGCAUGAAUGGAUCAACGAGACUCCUACUGUCCCUAUCUGCGUUCUAGUGAAACCACAGCCAAGGGAACGGGCUUGGCUGUUAUAUAGACAGCGGGGAAAGAAGACCCGGUUGCGCUUGACUCUAUUUUGGGAUUGUAAGAGGACUUGAGAGGUGUAGCAUACGUGGGAGUCUUCGGACGUCCUUGAAAUACCACGACUCUCAAUGUCUUUUUACUUAUCUCUUGACCAAUCACUUCGUUCUGCGAUCUAUGUGAGAGAGAGACAUUCUCAGAUGGGGAGUUUGGCUGGGGCGGUACAUCUGUUAUAACAAACCACAGGUGUCCUAAGGCAAAGUCAUGGAGAACAGAAAUCUCCAGUUGACCAAAAAGGGAAAACUUUGCUCUACUGGUUUGUUCAGCACACAAAUCAGUUCUGAAAGGAAGGCCUAUCGAUCCUUAGCGCAUUUUUUUCCAACGAUCGGACGCUGAGGUGCCGGAAAAGUCACCACCGGGAUAACUAGUUCGUGGCCGCCGAGAGAUCAUAUCGACGCGGCAAGUUGAUUUUUCGAUGUCGGCUCUUUCUAUCCUAAGCGUGUAGAAGCGCUUAAUGGUCGGAUUGUUCACCCGUAGUUAAAGGGAACGUGAGCUGGGUUAAGACCGUCGUGAGACAGGUUAGUUUUAUCCUACUGUCUUCUU